rnacentral:lncRNA from 1 species
AUGGGUUUCCAUCUCUAUCAGAAAACUGCAGAGAGAAGUGAAGGCCUAGGGCUGGCUACCUCCAGAGGAUUACGAAGGGCAGACAAUGUAUGGAGGUGCGGGAAGGAAAAGGAAAAGCCUGGACAUCAUGCAGAGAAUUUGAGAAAGAAAUCAAGCCAGGUGCAGUGGUACAUGCCAGUGAUCCCAGCACUCAGGAGGCAGAAGCAGGAGCAUCACUGCGAGUUUGAAGCCAACCUAGGUUACGCAGUGAGUACAAGGCCUAUCUGAACUACAUAGUAAGACCCUGUCUCAGAGAAAGAAAGAAAUCAACAUGAGAUGCAAAAGUCAGUGGUUCUUAUUAUUUUUCUCUAUAGCCCACCUUGCCAGCUUUCUUCAUUCAUCCCGUGAUGGUUGAUCUUGAUUGUUGAUGUAAGUGGAUUGAGAAACACCCAGGAAAGUAGUGGAUCUCAUUUCUGGUUGUGUCUUCCUGGGUACUUCCAGAGAUGAGUGGCAUGUGGGAUAGCAAACUGAAGGAGAGACCUGACCUGAAAGGGGGUGGCCCCGUGCAAAGGCCUGGUGGCCAGCCAGAUGGGGCAAAAUCAGAAGACAAAAGAAGCCUACCAGCAUGGGCCACCUCAUCUUCUCUGUCUGCUACCACCCUGAGAGAUGCAACUUUCCUCUCCCAUACCCUGUCUGCCUUUAUGUUCUUCCCUUACCACUGGCCAAAGGAAUGGAGCCGGUGCACCGUGGACUGGAAGCCCUGAAACCGUGAGCCAA